GCGGACGUGGCGGAAUCGGCAGACGCGCUAGAUUCAGGAUCUAGUGGUCACUAGACCGUGGAGGUUCAAGUCCUCUCGUCCGCACCA
rnacentral:tRNA from 1 species